AACCAACAGGGAUUCCCCUAGUAACGGCGAGUGAAGCGGGAACAGCUCAAAUUUGAAAUCUGGCCCUUGGGUCCGAGUUGUAAUUUGCAGAGGAUGCUUUUGGUGCGGUGCCUUCCGAGUUCCCUGGAACGGGACGCCUUAGAGGGUGAGAGCCCCGUACGGUUGGCCACCAAGCCUGUGUAAAGCUCCUUCGACGAGUCGAGUAGUUUGGGAAUGCUGCUCAAAAUGGGAGGUAUAUUUCUUCUAAAGCUAAAUACUGCCAGAGACCGAUAGCGCACAAGUAGAGUGAUCGAAAGAUGAAAAGCACUUUGAAAAGAGGGUUAAAUAGCACGUGAAAUUGUUGAAAGGGAAGGAUUUAUGACCAGACUUUUUCUGGGGGGAUCAUCCGGUGUUCUCACCGGUGCACUUCCCCCAGUUGAGGCCAGCAUCGGUUUCUGCCGGGGGAUAAAAGCUUUGGGAAUGUGGCUCCUUCGGGAGUGUUAUAGCCCGUUGCAUAAUACCCUGGCGGGGACCGAGGUUCGCGCAUUGCAAGGAUGCUGGCGUAAUGGUUAUUAAUCCGCCC
rnacentral:rRNA from 2 species